ACCCUCCCGGCACAGAGAACCCCGGCUGCUCAGCGCGCUCCGCGGUCAUGGAGAUCCCCGGGAGCCUGUGCAAGAAAGUCAAGCUGAGCAAUAACGCGCAGAACUGGAAACAUUGACGAAACUUGUUUGACUGCCCUGGAGAGUUUUUGUUGGGAAGUGGAGGGAAUGCAGAGAGCAACCAAUGUCACCUACCAAGCCCAUCAUGUCAGCAGGAACAAGAGAGGUCAGGUGGUGGGGACCAGAGGUGGCUUUCGUGGUUGCACAGUUUGGCUAACAGGCUUGUCUGGAGCGGGAAAGACUACUGUGAGCAUGGCCUUGGAGGAGUACCUGGUUUGUCAUGGUAUUCCAUGCUACACUCUGGAUGGUGACAAUAUUCGUCAAGGUCUCAAUAAAAAUCUUGGCUUUAGUCCUGAAGACAGAGAAGAGAAUGUUCGACGCAUCGCAGAAGUUGCUAAACUGUUUGCAGAUGCUGGCUUAGUGUGCAUCACAAGUUUCAUAUCACCUUACACUCAGGAUCGCAACAAUGCAAGGCAAAUUCAUGAAGGUGCAAGUUUACCGUUUUUUGAAGUAUUUGUUGAU
rnacentral:sRNA from 1 species